GUGUGUGUGAGUUUUACUCAAACUUAUUUUCUAUAAAACAAGUGUUGAACUAUAUAUAAAUUUGAACAAAAAAAAUUGAAAUUGAGAAUAAAAUGAAAUCAAUUGUAAUUUGUUUGAUUGUUCUUAGCUUAUUUGGUGGAGGAUCCACAGCCACAUUGAAAGAUUCCCCUAUGGAUACCAACCAUGUGGUUGAUGCUCGUAAAUUUUGCAGACUUGGUUGUUCCCUUUCUCUCUGCACCAAUCUUUCCACACCAGAAAACUUGAAUAUUGAGAAAGUAGACAGUUGUUUUAAGGGAUGUGAUCAAACGUGCAUGAAGUACUGAUGCUAAAGAACAAAAGAUGAAGUGUCCUGAGAGGAGAAAAGGAACAAGGAUUGGCUUUUCAAGAUAUACCUAUCAUAUAUGAAUAAACAAAAUUCAAUGGUGAAAAUUAAAACCAUUGGCUUAAAAGCAUAUUAUUUCAUAUUUAAGCAUAUGUUUUGUUUCGAUAUAAAUGUAGUUUCAAGUUUUUGCAUGUAGUUGAUUAUGAGCAAUAUGUCAAAAACAUCAAUGUUUCUCCUUUUAAGCAAUACGAGAAUGAAGAGUUAUGUCACAAUUUUUGCCUUAGUA